AUACUCUAAUUCCAUUCUUACGUAUCUUUUGCCUUUUAGUGAAGAUUUCUGAGAGAGGAACACUUAAUGAGUUUCAACCUUGUUUUGUGAAGCUUCAUGCCAGUGAAACU
rnacentral:snRNA from 1 species